rnacentral:snRNA from 16 species
AUCCAAGUGCACGGGUUUUACGUUACCAGUGAAGGUUCGCCUGAGGCAACGUUUUUGCUAGUUGAAAACUACAACUACUGACCGCUCCAUGUUGGUCUUCGGAUCGGCUGGGAAUUUUUGAACAAAAGCAAUGCUACUAUCGUGGUUUUU